AGUGAACGCUGGCGGUAGGCCUAACACAUGCAAGUCGAACGGCAGCACAGUAAGAGCUUGCUCUUACGGGUGGCGAGUGGCGGACGGGUGAGGAAUACAUCGGAAUCUACUUUUUCGUGGGUGAUAACGUAGGGAAACUUACGCUAAUACCGCAUACGACCUACGGGUGAAAGCAGGGGAUCUUCGGACCUUGCGCGAUUGAAUUAGCCGAUGUGGGAUUAGCUAGUUGGCGGGGUAAAGGCCCACCAAGGCGACGAUCCGUAGCUGGUCUGAGAGGAUGAUCAGAGACACGGGAACGGAGACACGGUCCAGACGACUACGGGAGGCAGCAGUGGGGAAUAUUGGACAAUGGGCGCAAGCAUGAUCCAGCAAUACCGCGUGGGUGAAGAAGGACUUCGGGUUGUAAAGCCCUUUUGUUGGGAAAGAAAAGCAGCAGGUUAAUACCCCGCUGUUAUGACGGUACCCAAAGAAUAAGCACCGGCUAACUUCGUG
rnacentral:rRNA from 1 species